GUUUAUACAGAUCUUCGGACAAAGUGGGGAGAGAGAGUAGCAGAUUGGGGAAGCUUUGGACCAUUGGUUUCAGCAAGGCACGGGUAAUGAUUGUUGCGUUCUAUAAACGGUGACUGCUGGUUGAUGUCAAAUUAACUCAUGCAAUGGUCUAAUCUACCAGGAAGCUUGAGGCAUGAAAAAUUUCAUGAAAAAACCUGAGCAUACCUACUCAAGUUCUAUGGCAUGGAUCUGAAUUUAACAGGUACUAUAUUUUGCCAUCAGAGGCUCAUGAAUAGUGUAGUUAGCAUGGCAGGUACUACUCAAAAGACCACUGUUUCUCGAACUUAACUUGCGUGUUACUGUGUUUAAUCUUUCUUGGGAUAGCUUGUGACAAGUUUCUGUCCUUUAAAUAUAGAUGAAGCACGUGCAUCAAAUAAGUCAAUUGGAGUAUAAAUGAACUACUGAGAUUCAUCACUGAUCGCUAAAUUCAAUUCUGAAUUUUAUAGUAGUUGUUUUUCCAUGUGAGAGAGAUAUCAUAUUGGUAGCAU